rnacentral:rRNA from 1 species
ACUACGGGUGGCAGCAGUGGGGAAUAUUGGGCAAUGGGCGCAAGCCUGACCCAGCAAUGCCGCGUGAAGGAAGAAGGCUUUCGGGUUGUAAACUUCUUUUGACAGGGAAGAGUAGAAGACGGUACCUGUCGAAUAAGCCACGGCUAACUACGUGCCAGCAGCCGCGGUAAUACGUAGGAGGCAAGCGUUGUCCGGAUUUACUGGGUGUAAAGGGCGUGUAGCCGGGUUGACAAGUCAGAUGUGAAAGCCUGCGGCUUAACCGCAGAACUGCAUUUGAAAAUGGUGAUCUUGAGUACUGGAGAGGCAGACGGAAUUCCUAGUGUAGCGGUGAAAUGCGUAGAUAUUAGGAGGAACACCAGUGGCGAAGGCGGUCUGCUGGACAGCAACUGACGGUGAGGCGCGAAAGCGUGGGGAGCAAACAGGAUUAGAUACCCCUGUAGUC